AUGGCGGUGUGCGACCCGCUGCACCGGCAGUACGAACUGCUUCCCCCAAUCCCUGACGACCUAAGAGCUUCGGUGGAGGACCCAAUCCGGCACAAUUUCUGCGAGACUUUCCUCGCUCCCGAUGGCGAUGAGGAAACGUCAUUCAGAGUGAUUUGGAUGGUGGAGUGUAGAGCUAAGCUCAUUGCCUUUGUCUUCUCUUCCAGUACUAGACAAUGGCGAGCCAUAUCCCAGAGUUGGACCAAUUUGUUAGAUGGUUUGCUAUCAUCCACAUGGAUUCCACUCUUCCUCCACCGGCAGUAUGCGUGUGGCUGCUUUUACUGGCUGCCAAACUGGCAGUGGCAGCACAAAUCGAAAAUGUUGGUGCUCGACACCUGGAUGAUGGAGUUCUCCAUUGUUGAACCCCCAUCCGAAGCCAAAAAUUCAUCCAGCACUGGUAUACCUAUGUUUGAAUCAGGAGAAGGCAGGCCUAGAAUGCUUGUUAGGGGGCCUGACAUAUCUAGCCGCAGUUAUACCAUUUGUAGGAAAAAUGGUGGGAGCUCCAGCCAGUGGCAGAAGGAGAAGAUAAUCUCACUCCCGCUGAUCUCUUGGGACAUGCUCAGAUGUGCAAAGGGGACGUACUUCCUCCUGGAUCAUCGCGGAAGCUCAUCGUUCGAGCAAGGCAGAUUCGCAGUGGACAUCGAAACUUUACAGCUCAAGAGAGUGUGUGCUUCGACGGUGCAUGGCCACACAUAUAGCAACUACCCACCGUCGUUCUCAUCACCGAAAGUAUCAAGUGAUAUUGAGGAGGUGCUGGAACAAGGCGUUGAGGCCCUCCAAGCUGAAGGGCCCGUGGAUGGCCAUCAAGAUGAGAGUACUGCUGGUAAGGCGGAUGUUGGAUGUCAAGCUGAUGAGUUGAGGGUUGGAGAUGGUGCCUAUUAA
rnacentral:rRNA from 1 species